rnacentral:rRNA from 1 species
UUGACCUCGGAUCANGUAGGGAUACCCGCUGA